ACAUCCAGAGAAUUUAGCAGAGAUGCUUUAGUGCCUUCGGGAACUCUGAGACAGGUGCUGCAUGGCUGUCGUCAGCUCGUGUUGUGAAAUGUUGGGUUAAGUCCCGNAACGAGCGCAACCCUUUAUCCUUUGUUGCCAGCACGUAAUGGUGGGAACUCAAAGGAGACUGCCGGUGAUAAACCGGAGGAAGGUGGGGAUGACGUCAAGUCAUCAUGGCCCUUACGAGUAGGGCUACACACGUGCUACAAUGGCGCAUACAAAGAGAAGCGACCUCGCGAGAGCAAGCGGACCUCAUAAAGUGCGUCGUAGUCCGGAUUGGAGUCUGCAACUCGACUCCAUGAAGUCGGAAUCGCUAGUAAUCGUAAAUCAGAAUGUUACGGUGAAUACGUUCCCGGGCCUUGUACACACCGCCCGUCACACCAUGGGAGUGGGUUGCAAAAGAAGUAGAUAGCUUAACCUUCGGGAGGGCGUUUACCACUUUGUGAUUCAUGACUGGGGUGAAGUCGUAACAAGGUAGGCGUAGUGCU
rnacentral:rRNA from 1 species